UACCUACUCCCUCCGUUCGGAAUUAUUUGUAUUGAAAAUGGAUGUAUCUAAAACUAAAAUACGUCUAGAUACAUCGAUUUUCGAGACAAGUAAUUCCGAACGGAGGGAGUAGAAG
rfam:Triticum aestivum genome assembly, contig: Triticum_aestivum_CS42_TGACv1_scaffold_322820_4BL